GGAUGAGGUAGGGGGUGCCGGGUGGGGAGGGGGUAAUAUAUCGUUUGCAGGAAGGGGGAAGGUCGUUUCACUUCUUUAGCUCCAAGUUUCUGCGUGGUCUAGAUAGCAGUUAUUUCAAAACCUUAAAUGGAAUAGACUGUGAUAAAGGAGGAUGCUUUACUUUCUUUAUGACACUCAGAGGCUAAAAGCAUGAGACAGAGGGUUCGAUAUUCAGCCGAUCGAUGAGGGAAAAGGCACAAAGGCAAAAUCGGAUGGAGCUCCUUUUCAAAUUCACAUCUCCGAUGUCCCCCCCAGCAGUCUGCGCUGGUGCGACGCACAGGGAGCAAGGGUUACCUCAAGGCUGUUCCGUGGACCAUGCAAACAAGUCUAGACCAGUGACCUGCUCAAUCGCUCCCUUUGAGGGCCAGGCAAGUUCGGUCAGGAAGAAGAAAGCAAGGCGUGCCCUCUUUUCAUUGAGGGAGCAAGGAGGUAAGGAGGGCAAAGAGAGUAGGCAUCUGCUUCCAUGGUUACUAUCCAAGUAUGAGGAUCCUGCUAUUCAAAAGGCUCCAUUCUCAUGCUCUCAGCCAGCCAAUGUCACUCGUUUAGAAGGAAGGCAGCACAGGAGGAGACCCGCGGCACCAGGCGUGCUUCUUUUAACGCUCUAAUGAUAAGUGCAUGGGCUGCUCACCAGAGAAAGGAGAAAUGAAGGAGGACAGAUGGGCGACUUUAUGUCACAUGACUGCG
ensembl:lncRNA